rnacentral:rRNA from 1 species
UCGAGAAUUUUUCACAAUGGGGGAAACCCUGAUGGAGCGACGCCGCGUGGGGGAUGAAUGGCUUCGGCCCGUAAACCCCUGUCAUUUGCGAUCAAUGCGCAUUAUUUAAAAGAUGAUGUGUUGAUGGUAGCGAAAGAGGAAGGGACGGCUAACUCUGUGCCAGCAGCCGCGGUAAUACAGAGGUCCCGAGCGUUGUUCGGAUUCACUGGGCGUAAAGGGUGCGUAGGUGGGGGGGUAAGUCGGAUGUGAAAGCGCGGAGCUCAACGCCGAAAUGGCAUGGGAAACUGCCCUGCUUGAGGUUUGGAGGGGGGACUGGAAUUCUCGGUGUAGCAGUGAAAUGCGUAGAUAUCGAGAGGAACACCAGUGGCGAAGGCGAGUCCCUGGACAAGACCUGACACUGAGGCACGAAAGCUAGGGGAGCAAACA